rnacentral:rRNA from 1 species
GUCCACGCCGUAAACGAUGGAUACUUGUUGUUGGAGGUAUUGACCCCUUCAGUGACGAAGCUAACGCGUUAAGUAUCCCGCCUGGGGAGUACGGUCGCAAGAUUAAAACUCAAAGAAAUUGACGGGGGCCCGCACAAGCGGUGGAGUAUGUGGUUUAAUUCGAUGCAACGCGCAAAACCUUACCUGGGUUUGACAUGGUAAUGAAUACGGCAGAGAUGUCGGCGUCCCGCAAGGGACAUUAUCACAGGUGCUGCAUGGCUGUCGU